CGGCAGAAAAGUCUUGUCCCAGUGGUCCUGCAAAGCUCUUGUAGGCUACGAAUUGCCGGGUGGAGAGGUUCAAGUAGCUGCCGUCUGCCCUGCUUUCUCUCCCUUCAUUUACAGAAAGCCACCAGAAAUAUUUCAUCCUCUUUGUUGAGACAGUUUCCUUGCACUCAGGCAGCAGAACAAGUGCAUUUAUGCUCUCACUCCAGGACUUGCUGAUGGCCCUGAGAGGCAGCCGGGGACUAGGACUGGGCUUGUUACAGCUUCAGAAAUUCAGCAGUGAAGUGCCUUUGCGUUGGGUGAGAACGAGGAGAGCUCUCUCAUCAAACAGCAGCAUGCUGGCUGACCUCAGCUCCCCUCCAGAGCAGCCGCAGCUGCAGAAGAAGGCUUUCUGCCAUGAUGAGGUUGUCUCCGGUUACUUCCCAGGGUCAGUCGUCCCUUUGGAGGCACGGUGCAAUCCAUCACACCGCCUCGCACCGGCUCCAGCCAAACAUCAGCGCCGAGCGGCGAAACAUUUUUGUUAUUUAAGUUACUGUAUGCUAAGUUUAUGUUGAUUGCUCCGAGCAUCAUCUCGGAAAGUUAACUAGCGUUAAAGUGUUGAUAAUGUCCCACUUUUGCAAUCAUAUUUGCAUAGUGCACAACAGAGUUUAGCAGAAAAAAUUAUCUUAAGUGCUGUUUUUCAUCAGCCCUGUCAGUCUCACACUGUUUGCUUCAUCUCGGUACGUGGGGCAUUUGGUGACAAACGGUGCUGACAUUUUUCCUGUCAGCAUUACGUUAUUCCACGAUCGCCGUCCCCUGCCUCCCGGCUGCACCCUCUGCACGCAGCGAGAGGAAGGGGAGGGGAUGGAGACGAAGGCAGAGGAGAAAGGAUUGGGAUUUUUUCCUUUUAUUUUGACCCCCCCUUCCCUCUUACCGAAACAUUUCCCACCUCCCUCCCCCUGCCCGAGACGGCAUCACCACAAAUACUCCCAUGGGCAAGCGGGAAGCAUCCCGUGCCCCGGUGGGCACAACCGGGGUGACCUCUCUUUGUUCAGGGAACGCCGCUGCCAAAGGCCUUCUCCUCCCACCAGCAUCAGCGCAACCUGCGCGAGGUCCCCCCGGUCAAUGACAGGAGGAGCUGGCUUUAUUUUUAUUUUUAUUUUCUUUACCGCAGCAAUAUUUCUUAAAGAUAAUUGAAAUGUUUCCUCGGCGUUACCAGCUCAGGAAUAAAAUCCCCAGAGUUCAGGGAUAAAGCCCA
rnacentral:lncRNA from 1 species